ACACGAGAGAGGAGGUGGUCCUAAGUUGUAUUCACACAGGACUCGUGAGGUGGCUGUCCGCUAGCGGAUGGCGCGUGUUGGGACUUUGAGCAGCGAUACAGCAAGAGCCACCUUCGGCUCAUCGCCUGCUUCACGUGCUGCCUGCUGACGAAUACCAGGCAGUCACCGGGUUCCCGGGGUUCUCGAGCACCGGUCCGGCUCGAGCCUGGACGCUGACGGCGUCCAGGAGGCGCCCCGGGAAUUUCCAU
rnacentral:sRNA from 1 species